UGACAUUUACUUAUAGUCUCUUAAAACCAUACAUCUUUUUCUUUUAGAUGUCUGUGAUCCAUGUUGGGACAAUUUCUUUUGUACAGAAGAUGUGAUCCACAGGAGAGAUUCUUUGGCCAUGAGGUCGCUGGCAGAAAUAAGCAUGAACUACAGAUGUCGAACCUGAGUUGGGGAAUGCAACAGUUCCCAGACGAGGAUUCUCUGUGACACGGUGAGAACUAGCAGUACAGGUAAAGGGCUGAGGACUGAGAAGGCAGUGGGGUGUUCUCAGAGGA
rnacentral:lncRNA from 12 species